AUUGAACGCUGGCGGCAGGCCUAACACAUGCAAGUCGAACGAGUGGCGGACGGGUGAGUAAUGUCUGGGAAACUGCCCGAUGGAGGGGGAUAACUACUGGAAACGGUAGCUAAUACCGCAUCCCAUCAGAUGCGCCCAGAUGGGUUUAGCUAGUGGGUGGGGUAACGGCUCACCUAGGCGACGAUCCCUAGCUGGUCUGAGAGGAUGACCAGCCACACUGGAACGUAGACACGGUCCAGACUCCUACGGGAGGCAGCAGUGGGGAAUAUUGCACAAUGGGCGCAAGCCUGAUACAGCCAUGCCGAGUGUAUGAAGAAGGCCUUCGGGUUGUAAAGUACUUUCAGCGAGGAGGCGUUACUCGCAGAAGAAGCACCGGCUAACUCCGUGCCAGCAGCCGCGGUAAUUC
rnacentral:rRNA from 1 species